GCAUAGAACUGAGAUAGGCCUUUAACUCUUUGAAUGCCUGUUGGUUUUCUUCAGCCCAGUUAAAGUCCUUUAAUUGCUUCAAAAUCUUGUAGUAGGGGAGGCAACGUUGUACCGAUCAGGAGAUGAAUCAAUUGAGAGCGGUGACCCUACCCAUGAGGUAUUGGACCACUUUUAUUGACUUCAAGGGAAUCAUUUCUUGUAUAGCUUUGAUCUUCUCAAGGUUGACUUCAAUAUCUUGAUGUGAGACCAUAAAGCUGAGAAACUUUCUUAAGGUAACCCCAAAGCACAC
rnacentral:lncRNA from 1 species